AGUGAACGCUGGCGGUAUGCCUAAUACAUGCAAGUCGAACGGCAGCACAGUAAGCGUUUGCUUCUACGGGUGGCGAGUGGCGGACGGGUGACGCAUACAUCGCCUUCUACUUUUUCUUGGGUGACAACGUAGGGACACUUCCGCUAAUACCUCAUAUGUCCUACGGCUUAAAUCAGUAGUUCUUCGCACUUUUCCUGUCACUUUUAGCUGGUGUCGCAUUAGCUAGUUGGCGUGGUAAAGUCCCACCAAGGCGACGAUGCGUAGCUGAUCUGAGAGGAUGAUCGGCCACACUGGAACUGAGACACGGUCCAGACUCCUACGGGAGGCAGCAGUGGGGAAUAUUGGACAAUGGGCGAAAGCCUGACGGAGCAACGCCGCGUGAGUGAAGAAGGUCUUCGGAUUGUAAAACUCUGUUAUUAGGGAAGAAAAAAUGCAGAAGUAAAUACGCAUGUUUUGACGGUACCUAAACAGAAAGCAACGGCUAACUUCGUG
rnacentral:rRNA from 1 species